rnacentral:rRNA from 1 species
AUGUUAGGUCCUAUGCAACCCCGCCUAGAGAACUAUAAACCUUCAGGUGAACCAGGGCAUCAGCGCUGCUUCCAGUAUAGUUGGUUUGGUGAUUUUCCAUCAUGGUUAGAAUACUCAGAGAAUAAAAGUUGUGCCUAUUGUCUGUAUUGCUUUGUCUCAAGUAACAAAGAGAAUACACGAGGUGGCUCUCAUGUCUUCACGGUACAUGGAUUUGACAGUUGGAGGAGAGUUUGUGGGAAACAUUGUGCAUCCUUGACACACAUAGAGGGUGGAUUCUGGAGAACCACAACCACGAAGAUGUCAUUGCAGAUUUCAUAA